GACGAACGCUGGCGGCGCGCCUAACACAUGCAAGUCGAACGAGCGAGAGAGAGCUUGCUUUCUCGAGCGAGUGGCGAACGGGUGAGUAACGCGUGAGGAACCUGCCUCAAAGAGGGGGACAACAGUUGGAAACGACUGCUAAUACCGCAUAAGCCCACGGUGCCGCAUGGCACAGAGGGAAAAGGAGCAAUCCGCUUUGAGAUGGCCUCGCGUCCGAUUAGCUAGUUGGUGAGGUAAUGGCCCACCAAGGCGACGAUCGGUAGCCGGACUGAGAGGUUGAACGGCCACAUUGGGACUGGGACACGGCCCAGACUCCUACGGGAGGCAGCAGUGGGGAAUAUUGCACAAUGGGGGAAACCCUGAUGCAGCGACGCCGCGUGGAGGAAGAAGGUCUUCGGAUUGUAAACUCCUGUUGUUGGGGAAGAUAAUGACGGUACCCAACAAGGAAGUGACGGCUAACUACGUA
rnacentral:rRNA from 1 species